UACGUAGGGUGCGAGCGUCGUCCGGAAUUAUUGGGCGUAAAGAGCUCGUAGGCGGUUUGUCGCGUCGGCCGUGAAAACUUGGGGCUUAACCCCGAGCCUGCGGUCGAUACGGGCAGACUUGAGUUCGGCAGGGGAGACUGGAAUUCCUGGUGUAGCGGUGAAAUGCGCAGAUAUCAGGAGGAACACCGGUGGCGAAGGCGGGUCUCUGGGCCGAUACUGACGCUGAGGAGCGAAAGCGUGGGGAGCGAACAGG
rnacentral:rRNA from 1 species